rnacentral:rRNA from 1 species
CAGUCGCCGCGGGAAUACGAAGGGUGCAAGCGUUAAUCGGAAUUACUGGGCGUAAAGCGUGCGUAGGCGGUGAGUUAAGUCUGCUGUGAAAUCCCCGGGCUCAACCUGGGAAUGGCAAUGGAUACUGGCAAGCUAGAGUGUGUCAGAGGAUGGUGGAAUUCCCGGUGUAGCGGUGAAAUGCGUAGAGAUCGGGAGGAACAUCAGUGGCGAAGGCGGCCAUCUGGGACAACACUGACGCUGAGGCACGAAAGCGUGGGGAGCAAACAGGAUUAGAGACCCCUGUAGUCCCUGUCUCUUAUAC